rnacentral:rRNA from 1 species
GACGAACGCUGGCGGCGUGCUUAACACAUGCAAGUCGAACGGAAAGGCCCUGCUUUUGUGGGGUGCUCGAGUGGCGAACGGGUGAGUAACACGUGAGUAACCUGCCCUUGACUUUGGGAUAACUUCAGGAAACUGGGGCUAAUACCGGAUAGGAGCUCCUGCUGCAUGGUGGGGGUUGGAAAGUUUCGGCGGUUGGGGAUGGACUCGCGGCUUAUCAGCUUGUUGGUGGGGUAGUGGCUUACCAAGGCUUUGACGGGUAGCCGGCCUGAGAGGGUGACCGGCCACAUUGGGACUGAGAUGCGGCCCAGACUCCUACGGGAGGCAGCAGUGGGGAAUAUUGCACAAUGGGCGGAAGCCUGAUGCAGCAACGCAGCGUGCGGGAUGACGGCCUUCGGGUUGUAAACCGCUUUCGCCUGUGACGAAGCGUGAGUGACGGUAAUGGGUAAAGAAGCACCGGCUAACUACGUG